rnacentral:lncRNA from 1 species
GGGGUGACAGCCAGGCCCAGGUGCUGGGCAGGUACAGAGGGCAGGGCUGUUGCUGAACUCGAGCGAUCUGAAGUGCCAGACACAGGGCCAGGGGUCCAAAACACAAAACAAACGCAAAGGCACCCCCAGAGGAAAAGCCCAGAGUCUAAAUUUUAAACAGGAAGAAGCAGGCGCUGGCCCCGAGGAAGAUAACAGGCCCAGGAGGGAACACAGCAACAGCGGAGCAGCAGAGCAGGCCUGGGGAGGGCAGGGCGUCCAUGCUGAGCCGCCUGCCUGGCUCCAGGUGCCAGGCCUGGGCUCUGCCCACCACACAGAGGGCCCCAGCCGGCCAGUGUUGAAGAUGGAACUAAGGGCCUCUUGCCUGUUGGGGAGCACCUCCAGCCAUGCACCUUCGGACCAAAACCUUGACAAUGACCAGAGAUUGCUUUCACAGUGAGAAAAUACUUUCAAAAUUAUAAACUUAGUACCAAUCACGCCUUGAGAAGAAGCAAGAUAUAUCAUGUACAGGUGUAAAUCCCCUAUAAUGAAUGUUAUCAUUAUGUAUAUCUAAAAUGUAUCAAUAAAUG